UCGCUACUACCGAUUGAAUGACUUAGUGAAUUAUCUGGAUUGUUCCUUUUCGGGGGGUUUCCUUCGACUUGGAGUAAGAAGGAUUGUAAACUUGGUCAUUUAGAGGAAGUAA
rnacentral:rRNA from 1 species